UCUGCGGCUAUUCAAACAAAAGAGUUGACGAUCUUCUCCGUUUGCUGAAUGAUGACGUUGUGCCGUACUACAAGCAUUUGGGAGAUCUGCAGGCUGCUGGCAGAACAAAUUCAAAAUCUCCCCAGGAUGUGUCUGAAGCUGCACAAAGGAUGAAAUCUAAUGGACUUGGCCAAAGUGUGACCUACAACUCAGAAGGCCAGUUUAGCAUUCCCUCAGAGACCAUUCCUGGUCAUGUGUAUUCUGUGAACUUGGUUUAUAUGACUUGUGAUUGUAAAUAUGCUUUAAAAGGCAAUUUGUGUAAACAUUUAGAGUUUGCAAAGAUGAUUUCUGCUGAAAAUGGAACAGAGGUUGAGGACAUACGCCAACGGGUGGCAAAUGCACUCUGGACAGCCCAAGAUUACACUGUGCAUAUGAACUCUGUUAUAGUGGACAGUGGUACACAGCUAGGCAUUGUAAACAUGGAGACAGAAAAAUGCUCUUGCUUGACAAGUAGCUUAGGAGAGGCAUGUGUGUGCUUGAAGGUGUUGUGGAACUUAACGCAAAAGGCUCAUACGGAGGAAUCAAAUCCACCUGAAAUAUCAAAACCAAAUGAUCACACGUAUUCAAUGGCAAAUCAGGCACAGACACUGCAACCAAAUUCAUCAAAGUGGUGUAUAAAGAAAUUAGUGACUGAUUUAAAUGAAUGGUGUAAUAGCACAGACUACAAGCCAUCCCUUGAUAUGUUUUCAGCAGUGAAGCAUGCUCACCACAUAAUGUUUGGGAAAUACACUAGGAUUUGCAGAAAAAGAAAGAUUGAGAGACUCCAUCCUUACAGAAAAUCUAUCGAGUUGUCUAGAAAGAGAGCUUUGAAUGUGCACAACUAUCAGCUUGCAAAACCUGGUAAGAGACUUCUUUAUACUUCCCGUCCAGAUUCGACCUUCCAAAAGAAACGGGGAAAGCCUUCCAGCAACCGCGCAAAGUCAAUGAGGGAUGUCUACACAAAAGACUGAGAAUCCUACUAUUAGUGCUACUAGCUCCAAUUGCUUAUAGCAAAUUUCGAUGUAAUCUGUAUGUAACUUUUAAAAUGAACUGUCUUUGUAGUUUAAAACCUCAGUAUGCAAUUACAAGAAGUGUGUUAUGUAAUUGUUUGAGAAGAGAGGGAGAAAUAACUUCAAGUAUGCUGCUCUUGUAAAGGUUUUAAUUUCCAAAGUUAAGCAUUAGCACUGACAAAGUUUUGUUUUAUUAUUUUUUUUAUGUGUUUGUAAAGUAGUACAAAAGUUAACAUUUGAAAAAAAGUACACAAAAUACAAUAAAGAACUAUCAAGUGGAAAA